CCGACGGUGAGGGAUGAAAGCUGGGGGAGCAAACCGGAUUAGAUACCCGGGUAGUCCCAGCCGUAAACGAUGUGCGUUAGGUGUAUCGGUGACCACGAGUCACCGAGGUGCCGAAGAGAAAUCGUGAAACAUACCGCCUGGGAAGUACGGUCGCAAGGCUGAAACUUAAAGGAAUUGGCGGGGGAGCACCACAACAGGUGGAGCCUGCGGUUUAAUCGGACUCAACGCCGGGAAACUCACCAGAUAAGACAGCUGAAUGAUAGUCGGGCUGAAGACUCUACUUGACUAGCUGAGAGGAGGUGCAUGGCCGUCGUCAGUUCGUACUGUGAAGCAUCCUGUUAAGUC
rnacentral:rRNA from 1 species